rnacentral:rRNA from 1 species
UACGGGGGGGGCAAGCGUUGUUCGGAAUUACUGGGCGUAAAGGGCGCGUAGGCGGCCUGCUAAGUCACACGUGAAAUCCCUCGGCUCAACCGGGGAACUGCGUGUGAUACUGGCGGGCUUGGAAUUCGGGAGAGGGAUGUGGAAUUCCAGGUGUAGCGGUGAAAUGCGUAGAUAUUGGGAAGAACACCAGUGGCGAAGGCGGCUCACUGGCCCGUAACUGACGCUGAGGUGCGAAAGCGUGGGGAGCAAACAGG